AUGUCCUGUUGUGGCUGUGAGGAAAGGAUUCCUGUGGUGCUCUGGUCACUGGAGAUCCUGUGGGUCAGCCUGGAGUGUUUCUCUUCCCUUCCCCUGCCCUCAGCAGAGCUCCAGGGAUCCCUGGCAGAGGGGGCACAGCGGGCACGGAGCAGCUCCGGGGCCUCAUCCCUGUCCCCACCCUGGGAUCUGUGGGGUCAGCUCCCCAUCCUGCCUGUGGGAUCUGUGGGGUCAGCUCCCCAUCCUUCCUCUGGGAUCUGUGGGGUCAGCUCCCCAUCCUGCCUGUGGGGUCUGUGGGGUCUGUGGGAUCAGCUCCUCAUCCUGCCUGUGGGAUCUGUGGGAUCAGCUCCCCAUCCUGCCUGUGGGGUCUGUGGGAUCAGCUCCCCAUCCUGUCUGUGGGAUCAGCUCCCCAUCCUGUCUGUGGGAUCAGCUCCCCAUCCUGCCUGUGGGGUCUGUGGGAUCUGUGGGGUCAGCUCCCCAUCCUGCCUGUGGGAUCUGUGGGAUCAGCUCCCCAUCCUGCCUCUGGGAUCUGUGAGAUCAGCUCCUCAUCCUGCCUCGUGGGAUCUGUGGGGUCAGCUCCCCAUCCUGCCUGUGGGAUCUGUGGGAUCAGCUCCCCAUCCUUCCUCUGGGAUCUGUGAGAUCAGCUUCUCAUCCUGCUCGUGGGAUCUGUGGGAUCAGCUCCCCAUCCUGCCUGUGGGAUCUGUGGGAUCAGCUCCCCAUCCUGCCUGUGGGGUCUGUGGAAUCAGCUCCUCAUCCUGCCUCUGGGAUCUGUGGGAUCAGCAGCUCCCCAUCCUGCCUGUGGGGUCUGUGGGAUCUGUGGGAUCAGCUCCCUAUCCUGCCUCUGGGAUCUGUGGGGUCAGCUCCCCAUCCUGCCUGUGGGAUCUGUGGGAUCAGCAGCUCCCCAUCCUUUCUGUGGGAUCAGCUCCCCAUCCUAUCUGUGGGAUCAGCUCCCUAUCCUGCCUCUGGGAUCUGUGGGAUCAGCUCCCUAUCCUGCCUGUGGGAUCUGUGGGAUCAGCUCCUCAUCCUGCUUGUGGGAUCUGUGGGAUCAGCUCUCAUCCUACAUGUGGGAUCUGUGGGAUCAGUUUCCAUCCUGCCUGUGGGAUCUGUGGGAUCAGCUCCCCAUCCUGUGGGAUCAGCUCCUCCCCUCCUUCCUGUGGGAUCUGUGGGAUCAGUUUCCAUCCUGCCAGUGGGAUCAGCUCCCCUCCUCCCUCUGGGAUCUGUGGGAUCAGCUCCCCCUCCUCCCUCUGGGAUCUGUGGGAUCAGCUCCCCUCCUCCCUCUGGGAUCUGUGGGAUCUGUGGGAUCCUGCUCUGCCCCCUGAGCUGGGUGUGCCGUGUGGGGCACUGUGGCUGGAGUUGGGAUUUCCCUGUCAGAGCAGGACACUCGAGGCGUGUGCUGGCAUUUUAAUGUGCUUUUAUCCAAGCAGCCAUAUNNNNNNNNNNNNNNNNNNNNCCUGCCUGUGGGGUCUGUGGGAUCUGUGGGGUCAGCUCCCCAUCCUGCCUGUGGGAUCUGUGGGAUCAGCUCUCAUCCUACAUGUGGGAUCUGUGGGAUCAGUUUCCAUCCUGCCUGUGGGAUCUGUGGGGUCAGCUCCCCAUCCUGCCUGUGGGAUCAGCUCCUCAUCCUGCCUCUGGGAUCUGUGGGAUCAGCUCCCCAUCCUGCUUGUGGGGUCUGUGGGAUAUGUGGGAUCAGCAGCUCCCCAUCCUUCCAUUGGGAUCUGUGGGAUCAGCUCCCCCUCCUUCCUGUGGGAUCUGUGGGAUCAGUUUCCAUCCUGCCUGUGGGAUCUGUGGGAUCAGUUUCCAUCCUGCCAGUGGGAUCAGCUCCCCUCCUCCCUCUGGGAUCUGUGGGAUCAGCUCCCCAUCCUGCCUGUGGGAUCUGUGGGAUCUGUGGGGUCAGCUCCCCAUCCUGUGGGAUCAGCUCCUCCCCUCCUUCCUGUGGGAUCUGUGGGAUCAGUUUCCAUCCUGCCAGUGGGAUCAGCUCCCCUCCUCCCUCUGGGAUCUGUGGGAUCAGCUCCCCUCCUCCCUCUGGGAUCUGUGGGAUCAGCUCCCCUCCUCCCUCUGGGAUCUGUGGGAUCCUGCUCUGCCCCCUGA
ensembl:lncRNA